CAGUCGCCGCGGUAAUACGUAGGGUGCGAGCGUUAAUCGGAAUUACUGGGCGUAAAGCGUGCGCAGGCGGUUGUGCAAGACAGAUGUGAAAUCCCCGAGCUUAACUUGGGAACUGCAUUUGUGACUGCACGGCUAGAGUGUGUCAGAGGGGGGUAGAAUUCCACGUGUAGCAGUGAAAUGCGUAGAUAUGUGGAGGAAUACCGAUGGCGAAGGCAGCCCCCCGGGAUAACACUGACGCUCAUGCACGAAAGCGUGGGGAGCAAACAGGAUUAGAUACCCCUGUAGUCCCUGUCUCUUAUAA
rnacentral:rRNA from 1 species